rnacentral:rRNA from 1 species
UACGUAGGUGACAAGCGUUGUCCGGAUUUACUGGGCGUAAAGAGCGCGCAGGCGGUCGUUCAAGUCGAGUGUGAAAGCCCCCGGCUCAACUGGGGAGGGUCACUCGAUACUGAUCGACUCGAAGGCAGGAGAGGGUGGUGGAAUUCCCGGUGUAGUGGUGAAAUGCGUAGAUAUCGGGAGGAACACCAGUGGCGAAGGCGACUACCUGGCCUGUUUCUUGACGCUGAGGCGCGAAAGCUAGGGGAGCAAACGGG